rnacentral:rRNA from 1 species
UACGAAGGGGGCUAGCGUUGUUCGGAAUCACUGGGCGUAAAGCGCACGUAGGCGGAUUGCUAAGUCAGGGGUGAAAUCCUGGAGCUCAACUCCAGAACUGCCUUUGAUACUGGCGACCUUGAGUCCGGGAGAGGUGAGUGGAACUGCGAGUGUAGAGGUGAAAUUCGUAGAUAUUCGCAAGAACACCAGUGGCGAAGGCGGCUCACUGGCUCGUAUCUGACGCUCAGGCGCGACAGCGUGGGGAUCAAACAGG